rnacentral:rRNA from 1 species
CCCUUAGUAAUGGCGAAUGAAACGGGAUCAGCCCAUCGCGUAACUGCAGGUCAUCUUGGCUUUGCGGGAUGUCGCGUUUGGGAUAGUCUCAUCGGGAGCCGGACUGCCAGUCAAAGUCCAACUUGACAGUGGCCACUGCCCAUAGAGGGUGAUAGGCCCGUAAGGCGGCGGUCCGCUCCUGCCGACUUUUCCCCAGAGUCGGGUUGCUUGGGAGUGCAGCCCAAAGUUCGAGGUAAACUCCUCGUAAGGCUAAAUACGACCCCAAGACCGAUAGCAAACAAGUACCGUGAGGGAAAAUUGAAAAGAACUUUGAAGAGAGAGUUCAAUAGUACGUGAAACUGUGUGGUGGUAAACGGAGGGGUUCUCGAAGUCUCCGCGGGGUACUCAACCUUGGUGGUGGGUGGUCGGGCUGCGUGCGAUCAGCAAUGACGCCGCGGCUCGUCCGGCCCUCCUCCCGGGUGCAUUUCCCCCGCGGUUCACGGCAGGAACCAUUGGGACCGGACCGAAGGCCCCAGGUGAAGUUGUCGCUUAUGGUGGCAGCCCUUGGGUGCCCUGGCUCCGGGCCUGACGGGUACGUGAGAGGACUCGUAUAGCGAGCAACGCUCUGUUGCAGUCCUCAUCUCUCUGCCGAGUAGGUCGGUGGCCCCUCUGACCCGUCUUGAAACACGGACCAAGGAGUCUAACAUGUAUGCGAGCCAUUGGGUUGGCUAAACCUAACGGCGCAGUGAAAGCAAAGAGCAGCCUGUCUGCUCGAGGGACGAUCCCGUCAGGGCGCAGUCCUGCGACUUCCAAUCAACCUCGCAUU